rnacentral:lncRNA from 1 species
UAGGCCAGCGACGGACUGUAUUUGGCAGACUGAGGAUUGUAGCUUGGGGAUGUAGGACUAUAGGUUGGUGAAGUUGGGCUAUAACUUGGUGAAGUUGGACUAUAACCAGGAGAAGUGGGGCUAUAGGCUGGUGAAGUGGGGCUGUACGAUGGAGAAGUAGGGCUGUAUGACGGUGAGGUAGGGCUGUACGAAGGUGAUGUUGGGCUGUAGGAAGGAGAGGUUGGGCUGUACGAUGGUGAGGUGGGGCUGUAUGCAGGUGAGGUGGGGCUAUAUGCAGGUGAGGUGGGGCUAUAUGCCGGUGAGGUGGGGCUAUAGCUUGGUGAAGUUGGACUGUAACUGGGAGAAGUGGGGCUGUAACUUGGAGAGGUCGGGCUGUAGCUUGGGGAUGUUGGGCUGUAACUUGGGGAGGUUGGGCUAUAGCUUGGUGAAGUAGGUGAGUACGAUGGACUGGUAGGAGAAUAGGCAGGACUGGUUGGACUAUAACCAGGAGAACUUGGACUAUAAGUUGGUGAGGUAGGGCUAUAUCCAGGCGAGGUGGGACUGUAUCCAGGCGAAGUUGGGCUGUAUCCAGGUGACGUGGGACUGUAUCCAGGAGAUGACGGACUGUAGCCUGGUGAUGAUGGGCUGUAUCCGGGUGAUGAAGUAGGAGAGAAGGCCAUUCCACCAACAUAAGGAGAAAACUGGGCAUCCGUGACCGGGGACAGACGGAGAUU